rnacentral:rRNA from 1 species
UACGGAGGGGAGCUAGCGUUGUUCGGAAUUGACUAGGGCGUAAAGCGUAGCGGUAGGGCGGCUUUGUAAGAUUAGGGAGGUGAAACCCAGAGCUCAACUCUGGGAAUUGCCUUUAAGACUGGCAUCGGCUUGAAUCGUGGGAAGAGGUUAGUGGAAUUCCGAGUGUAGAGGUGAAAUUCGAUGAGAUAUUCGGGAAGAAACACCAAG